UACGUAGGGUGCAAGCGUUGUCCGGAAUUAUUGGGCGUAAAGAGCUCGUAGGCGGUCUGUCACGUCGGCUGUGAAAACUCGGGGCUCAACCCCGAGCCUGCAGUCGAUACGGGCAGACUAGAGUCCGGCAGGGGAGACUGGAAUUCCUGGUGUAGCGGUGAAAUGCGCAGAUAUCAGGAGGAACACCAGUGGCGAAGGCGGGUCUCUGGGCCGGAACUGACGCUGAGGAGCGAAAGCGUGGGGAGCGAACAGG
rnacentral:rRNA from 1 species